rnacentral:sRNA from 1 species
UACAAUAGAAUCGGCUCCUCAAGGGUGGUCGGCUCACUCCUGUUCCUUAAUGGAAGGGGGUGAGGCCAUUGACGGUGUAUGAGGCAAUAUCAUUGAUGCUCACUUUCGGGCUUCUGAUAGUUGCCGUGCUGUCCUUCCACAAAAAGAAGUAGACCACCCUUGAGCUUAGCAGGCUUGGUGGUCUACUUGACAAAACAUUGAGCCGCCCCCUUGUAGGGAACGUCUAUUGUGCAUGACCGUGGGUGCGGGAACACCUGCG